CCUACGGGAGGCAGCAGUGAGGAAUAUUGGUCAAUGGCCGAGAGGCUGAACCAGCCAAGUCGCGUGAGGGAAGACGGCCCUACGGGUUGUAAACCUCUUUUGUCGGGGAGCAAAGCGAGUCACGUGUGACUCAUUGAGAGUACCCGAAGAAAAAGCAUCGGCUAACUCCGUGCCAGCAGCCGCGGUAAUACGGAGGAUGCGAGCGUUAUCCGGAUUUAUUGGGUUUAAAGGGUGCGAGGGGGGAGGUGGAAGUCAGCGGUAAAAUUGCGGGGCUCAACCCCGUACUGCCGUUGAAACUGCAUGGCUUGAGUGCGCGAGAAGUAUGCGGAAUGCGUGGUGUAGCGGUGAAAUGCAUAGAUAUCACGCAGAACUCCGAUUGCGAAGGCAGCAUACCGGCGCGCAACUGACGCUGAGGCACGAAAGCGUGGGUAUCGAACAGGAUUAGAUACCCGGGUAGUC
rnacentral:rRNA from 1 species